rnacentral:rRNA from 1 species
GAUGAACGCUGGCGGUAUGCUUAACACAUGCAAGUCGUACGAAGAUCUUUGAUCUUAGUGGCGGACGGGUGAGUAACACGUGAGAAUCUGCCCUUAGGAAGAGGAUAACAGCUGGAAACGGUUGCUAAUACUCUAUACGCCGAGAGGUAAAAGGAUUUAUCCACCUUAGGAAGAGCUCGCGUCUGAUUAGCUUGUUGGUAAGGUAAUGGCUUACCAAGGCGACGAUCAGUAGCUGGUUUGAGAGGACGACCAGCCACACUGGGACUGAGACACGGCCCAGACUCCUACGGGAGGCAGCAGUGGGGAAUUUUCCGCAAUGGGCGAAAGCCUGACGGAGCAAUACCGCGUGAGGGAUGAAGGCCUUAGGUUGUAAAGCUCUUUUACCCGAGAUGAUAAUGACAGUAUCGGGAGAAUAAGCUCCGGCUAACUCCGUG